GACGAACGCUGGCGGCGUGCUUAACACAUGCAAGUCGAACGAGUGGCGAACGGGUGAGUAACACGUGGGUGAUCUGCCUUGCUCUUCCGGAUAAGCUUGGGAAAAUGGGUCUAAUACCGGGUAGUGCAAGAUGAGCUCGCGGCCUAUCAGCUUGUUGGUGGGGUAAUGGCUACCAAGCCGCGACGGGUAGCCGGCCUGAGAGGGUGGACGGCCACAUUGGGACUGAGAUACGGCCCAGACUCCUACGGGAGGCAGCAGUGGGGAAUAUUGCACAAUGGGCGGAAGCCUGAUGCAGCGACGCCGCGUGAGGGAUGAAGGCCUUCGGGUUGUAAAGCACUGUCAGCGGGGAGGCGUUACCCACAGAGGAAGCACCGGCUAACUCCGUGCCAGCAGCCGCGGUAAUAC
rnacentral:rRNA from 1 species